AGAGUUUGAUCAUGGCUCAGAACGAACGCUGGCGGCAGGCUUAACACAUGCAAGUCGAACGCGUGUAGCAAUACACGAGUGGCGCACGGGUGAGUAACGCGUGGAUAUCUGCCUUUUGGUUCGGAAUAACCCCGGGAAACUGGGGCUAAUACCGGAUGGUUCCUUCGGGAUAAAGAUUUAUCGCCAAAAGAUGAGUCCGCGUACGAUUAGCUAGUUGGUGAGGUAAUGGCUCACCAAGGCAACGAUCAGUAUCCGGCCUGAGAGGGCGGACGGCCACACUGGGACUGAGACACGGCCCAGACUCCUACGGGAGGCAGCAGUGGGGAAUUGUUCGCAAUGGGCGCAAGCCUGACGACGCAACGCCGCGUGGAGGAUGAAGGUCUUCGGAUUGUAAACUCCUGUUGCUUGGGACGAAUGGCUCCAACCUAAUACGUUGGAGUGUGACGGUACCAGGUGAGGAAGCCCCGGCUAACUCUGUGCCAGCCGCCGCGGUAAUACA
rnacentral:rRNA from 1 species